AAAAUCAAUAAUUGGAGAUUCGCUGUUAACCAUUAAAUCGCGGAAACAAGGGGGUACUAAUGCCUGACUUCUUGCAGGCAAAACGGCCAUGAGCUGCUCAAAAGGACGGAAGGGUGUACCCAUUUUGAAAUCAAUCUUUACAUCAAGGCCCUUUAAAACAUCUGAAAUCUUUGGUGCAAAAUGGUAGUUGUAAUACCAACCCCAAGACUGACAUCCACGGUAAUAAUAGAAAAGUACCCAUUGUAAACCUUCAACAUAACGUUCAGCCAUUGCU